UCAUUGAAUCAGAAGCCCCUUCUCAUGGGCCAGAUGCAGAAGGGAAAGAAAAGAGAAGGAAAGUGCAUUUCACUAGACCAUGACUAAGAAUGUUCCAAACUGACAAUACAUGUCAAGGAAGAGUAAGAGCCCUACCAUACUACUACCUUUGAAGAGCUGGAUGAGUGGGUACAAGAAGAAUAAAGCUCAGGAAGCAGAUUUUCCAGGUCUGCCAACUCUGAAGAUGAUAGAACUUGUGACCUGGGAGGUGCAGACAAGAGAUUUGAAAGAAGCAGUCAAUAAACUGAUUCCAGGCAGCAUUGGAAAAGAUGUCAGUCCAUGAUGUCUUCGUCAGAAAAGUAAAAAUGCUGGGGAAGUCCAAGUUUGAAUUGAGAAAACUCAUAGAGCUUCAUAGUGAGGCUACUGGGAAUGAAAUGGGCACUAAAGUUAAAUGUGCUGAUGGAUAUGAGCCACCAGCCCCAGAAUCUGUUCCAAGUUUGGUCUUUCAAAAGUGACAAAUAAGGUCCUAUUUGUGAAAAAAAAGAAAGAAAUUCUGAACUUGAUCUCUUGAUAUAACCUAGUCACACCAAAGGGGGGAAAAGAAAUAAAGAAAAGAAAAAAAAAGAAUAAAAAGGAAUAAAUAAUGCCUAUGGGAACUAUGGUACACCACUAAACACACAAAAUAUUAGCAUCAUGGGAGUUUUAGAAAGAGAAGAAACACAAAAAGUAAUAAAAAACCUAUUUCAUGAAAUAGAGCUGAAUAUUUCCCAAGUCUUGGGACAAAUACAAACAUUCAGAUUCAGAAAACACAAAGAACACCAAGUAGAUCCCAUCCAAAAAGAUCUGCACUGAGACACAUUACUGGUACAUUAUCAAAAGUCAAAGACAGAGAAUCCUAAAAACAGCAAGAUGUAAGUGCCAAGCCACAUUUAAGACUCUCCACUGGACUAAUAGCAGAUUUCAUUGUAGAAGCAUUAGAGGCCAGAAGAAAAUGGGAUAAUAUAUCCAAAGUGCUGGGAAAGAAAAGAAA